ACCCACUGCACCCGGCGGCCGCUCGCCCGGAGCUGGGGACGCGCCUCCGGGUCUGGACCGGUUUUCAGGAAGCUGGUGAUCUCUCGCACCGCUUUUUAACCGCUUCUUCCAACUCCCAACUCCCUGGCCAAAGCAAGAGCAUGGUGCGGCCGCUCUGCUAGUGCCGGGUUCGUGCACACUCCCUGGGCCUCUUCCCCUUCCAGAUGCCCUAGUGGUUUGGGAUUGUGUCCAGGAGCCCGGGAUCUAGCCAGGAGCAGGAAGGUGGGAGCGACCUCAGUGAGGUUCCUGUCGUCCAGACACAGCAAAGCUAGGCGUGCGUGUGUCCAUGAAACUCACCUGGACCUCUGCAGCUGCUCCAAGGCGCUGGUGCUGCCGCCCUGGCCUGACUGCUCCAAGGCGCAGUAGUUCUGCGAGUUCUGCCUGGAGAAGGCGAUGGGCAGGAUUCCCUGAGUGAACGAGUUGAGGCGGCCCCGACUGCCGCUCGUACUCCCGGGGGUCCCGGAGCCCAAAAAGCUGGCCGAUGGCACCUGCACGUUGGUGAAGGCAUCGUCCUCCUCCAGCUCCUCCUGUCCGGCGCCUCCCGGCCCGUCAGGCAACUGCAGCUGAGCACCGGUGACAGCUGGAGCUGAACGGGGCGGCUGAGAUGGCUCUCCCAACACCCGGGGGACCAGAGACGGCGGCAGCGGGCAAGGGCUGGAACCCGAGCCGGCGGUCCACGGCGCGGCCGCGGUGCCCGGUGCCGAGAACGCGUUGCAGCCAGCGGCCAGCAGGCUGAGCCGAGCCCUUGCUCCGGGCUUGGUCCCGCCGCCCUCCUCGCCGCCGCCCCACUCGUGGUCCUGCAGCGGAGGCCGUCCGUCCAGAGAAAUGUUGGUGAGGAAGGACAGGGCAGCCUGGCGGCGCCGCGGGUCCAUGCGCGGCUUACGAAGAGGUUCCGGCGGCGCGGUGGCCGGAGGAGGCGGCGGCGGCUGCACCCCGCUGGUGGCCGCGGCGUCCGUGCUGCCGCCGCGACUGCUGCUGCUGCUGCUGCAGGCGGCCGUGCCCGCGGUGGCGGUCGCCGCCGCCAUUGUGUCCGUCUGGGGCGUCAGUUCCCCGGUACCCGAGAAGCGAGUGGCGGGUGCCGAGUGCUAAGCCGCGGCCGCGAGCCCCGGCGACCCGGGCUGGGCAGGGCGCGGGGCGCGGGCGGUGUGCGAGGCGGUCCUACCCUCCCGCGGGCGGGCCAUGCUCGGCCCUGGGCGUUCGGGCGCCGCUGAGAGCCACACGCGCCUGGCUCGCCCUCCGCGUCCCGGACCCACGCGCGCCUGGCCGACCCUCCGUGCCGCGCGAUCACGGGCUCCUGGCCGGCCGGUCGGUAUUUAUAAGUGCGCGCGCCCCGCGCUCGCGCUCCGGAGCGCUCUUUGCAAUAACACAGUAUCACGUGUGGGGAAUGAGACCUGGGAGGAAAACAAAGCCGCAGGCGGAGACCGCAGCGGCGGGAGGCGACCGCGCAGGAGGCGGUGAAAAAGGAGGAGGGAAGUAGAGCUCGGCGCGUGUCAGGGCGGGGGCUCACCGGGCCGGUCCCCACGGUUCCAGCUAUUCCUGGGGCACGCGGAAGCCAGGUGCUGGAGGCGAGCACGUCACCUCUGUACGUUCGAGCGGAGAACCGCGGGUGUCAGUAGAGCCGGAUGAGCCGCAGCCCAAGCUUGUGCUCGGGUAAGAGUUACGGGGCGAUCACCUGGAGCCUUUGCACCCGACCCAGUAACCAAAUUUGGUGUUACCCAUGGGCCUGGACACACCGGUUCUUGUUAACAGAUACACCUUCCUAUGUGGACAUCCCCACCGAAAGUGUUGCUAAUCACUGGGAUGUGACACCACUAUUUCGCAGACCCAGGGGGCGGCUGCCAAUAUAAAUGUAAAGGAGCCCACCUAGUUGCCUGGAUGUGUGAGCACCUUCUAAGUGGCCCAGCUGAUUAAUAUACACACCACUGGUGCUCUUAGCAAAGGACAGACGGCAUUUGCCCUGAAAAUGUAAUGGAUUUUCUGUGAAGAUCUGAGCAGGUUAGAAUAAUCUUACACUCAAAUGUCUGCAAGUCUUUUAUUCCUCUAUAAACGGGGAUUGAUAGACUCAUUUGUUUCGUCAACGUCUGUUUGGCCCCUGGUUUUAUGUUCCAGAAAGAUGGGUUCCUGCCUAGGGACACCGUGACUCUGGGUCUAGGAAGACCCACCCCACAACCCCAACAAAUGGUUUUAGGAAGAGCAACUGCGGGGCUACCCAGCCACUUUCCAAAGACCCCUGCUGAGUUCUCUAAGGCCUGGGCGACUUAUUAAAUACUGUAUGACACAAUUGUCGUCCUGAAUUUCUGCGACACCUAAGAAGCCUUACGAAGAAGGCUUCUCUAAGGGAGAAGCAAAGUGUUUAAGAUGAACGGAUUAAUUUAAUUAGAGGUUUAAAUUUAGCCUUGGAGCUAAUGGGUAAUUCUACAUCGAAAUUCCACUCCUUUUCAAGUUCAGCAGAGUAAAUUAUGUAGCUGAGAGCAAGUAUACACGGCUUGGAGAUGUGCAGCCAGCCCAGAGUCGGAGAUAGGCGGGGUUUGGGUUACAUGAACAGGGAUAAACAGGUCUCAUGGCUGUUUGUAUGAACCAUUGUUUAUAUUUAAUUUUGGGCCAUAUUUAGGCCUUAUGAAAAAGCAGAGGCCUGUCUGCAGCAGACUCACUAGUGACCAACUGAAUUUCAUCAGGUUUUAAAUACUUUAACUACUUUGAAACUUCAAGUCACUUUAUUACAAUUGACGUAAUUUACCUG
rnacentral:lncRNA from 1 species